AUUUAAGUAGCUUAUAAAGAGCAUGAUAUUGAAGAUAUCAAGGAAAUUUUUUAUUCUUAAAUA
rnacentral:tRNA from 1 species